GACGAACGCUGGCGGCGUGCUUAACACAUGCAAGUCGAACGGAAAGGCCAUGCUUUUGUGGGGUGCUCGAGUGGCGAACGGGUGAGUAACACGUGAGUAACCUGCCCUUGACUUUGGGGUAACUUCAGGAAACUGGGGCUAAUACCGGAUAGGAGCUCCUGCAGCACGGGGGGGGUUGGAAAGUUUCGGCGGUUGGGGAUGGACUCGCGGCUUAUCAGCUUGUUGGUGGGGUAGGGGCUUACCAAGGCUUUGACGGGUAGCCGGCCUGGGAGGGUGACCGGCCACCUUGGGACUGAGGUACGGCCCAGACUCCUACGGGAGGCAGCAGUGGGGAAUAUUGCGCAAUGGGCGGAAGCCUGAUGCAGCAACGCCGCGUGCGGGAUGCCGGCCUUCGGGUUGUAAACCGCUUUCGCCUGUGACGAAGCGUGAGUGACGGUAAUGGGUAAAGAAGCACCGGCUAACUACGUG
rnacentral:rRNA from 1 species